rnacentral:tRNA from 1 species
GGAGUUGGUAGCUCAGUGGUCGAGUGCAUGCUUUGUGUGCAUAAUGUCCUGGGUUCAAAUCCCAGCUUCUCCC